rnacentral:rRNA from 1 species
CAGUAGCCGCGGGAACACGUAGGUGGCAAGCGUUGUCCGGAAUUAUUGGGCGUAAAGGGCUCGCAGGCGGUUUCUUAAGUCUGAUGUGAAAGCCCCCGGCUCAACCGGGGAGGGUCAUUGGAAACUGGGAAACUUGAGUGCAGAAGAGGAGAGUGGAAUUCCACGUGUAGCGGUGAAAUGCGUAGAGAUGUGGAGGAACACCAGUGGCGAAGGCGACUCUCUGGUCUGUAACUGACGCUGAGGAGCGAAAGCGUGGGAAGCGAACAGGAUUAGAUACCCGCGUAGUCCCUGUCUCUUAUAC